UACGAAGGGGGCUAGCGUUGCUCGGAAUCACUGGGCGUAAAGGGUGCGUAAGCGGGUCUUUAAGUCAGGGGUGAAAUCCUGGAGCUCAACUCCAGAACUGCCUUUGAUACUGAAGAUCUUGAGUUCGGGAGAGGUGAGUGGAACUGCGAGUGUAGAGGUGAAAUUCGUAGAUAUUCGCAAGAACACCAAUGGCGAAAGCACUCUGCUGGGCCGACACUGACACUGAGAGACGAAAGCUAGGGGAGCAAAUGGG
rnacentral:rRNA from 1 species